ACCUGACGGAAGGAUCAUUACCGAGAUAGGGUCCCUUUUAGGGUACCCGACCCUCCCACCCUUUGUGUAUGUACCUCUGUUGCUUCGGCGGGCCACCGCGGUUCGCGUCCGGUCUGCCAGAAGCCCAUUUAAUUCCGACUUUAAUAUCAGUGAUGUCUGAGCAUUUGCAAAAUAAAAUUAAAAACUUUCAACAACGGAUCUCUUGGUUCUGGCAUCGAUGAAGAACGCAGCGAAAUGCGAUAAGUAAUGUGAAUUGCAGAAUUCAGUGAAUCAUCGAAUCUUUGAACGCACAUUGCGCCCUCUGGUAUUCCGGGGGGCAUGCCUGUUCGAGCGUCAUUACACCUCUCAAGCUCUGCUUGGUAUUGGGCCUUCGUCCCCCGUGGACGGGCCUGAAAAUCAGUGGCAGUUUAGCCGGUGCUCAAGCGUAGUAACAUUAUAUCCCGCUUUGGAGUCACCGGGUGGACCCGCCAGACAACCCUAAUUGUAUUUUCAAUGGUUGACCUCGGAUCAGGUAGGGAUACCCGCUGCUUUU
rnacentral:rRNA from 1 species